AGCUCAGCAGAUACUCCGCAGCAUUCCUCGAUAUCCUGCCGUGAUACCAAGAGUGUUUCUCCAGGGAGUUGACGGGAGUCACGUAAUUCGACGACUAAGCUGAUUCUCCCCACCAGCUUGGAAAUCGUACAAGGCGACAAAUAAUUGAGGAUCGUCCUCUUCCUGCGCCAGCAGAUUCUCUUUGCUGGUCCAUCUGCCAUAAAAAUGGAAUAGAUAUUAUUUUUAUAUUAAACUUUUCAACGUCAUCUGUUUAAGGCUGAAUGAUUAUGUUGAGAAUGUACAGCUACUUAGGCUGUCGCUGAGAUUGCAAAGGCAUGAGAUGGCAAUUAUAUAAGCAUGACAUGUGUUCUGCUCUUUAGACCCUGAAUAGUAAACUGACCUAUUUGCUGCUUCAAGAAGUCCACUAGACACACUGCUGUGUUGUUGAACGUUUGCUUGUUGUGAGAUUGAUUGAAUGCUAGAACCACUUGGAGGGUCACCUUCUGGCAAUGCUGGAAUGUGAGGUAGCGGUCUACUUUGCAAAAGCGCCUCUGCAAAAAAAUACCAAACUUGUAACGACGUAAAAUAAUGUACGAUAAGAAUAAUCUACACUCUGUAUCUACAUAAAGUCUCAUCCAAGAAA